GGUCUGGUGGUGUAGUGGUAACACCUCUGCUUUACACGCUGUGAAUAGAGUGUAAUUCAGCAGGAGUUUCUCGUUCGAUUCGGGGCCAGGCCG